AGCCUUCUGUAUCCGUGCUGAGAUUUUGCAACACACCAGACCACAAGGGCUCAUUAGACUUCCAAAGUAAAUGAAGCG
rnacentral:pre_miRNA from 1 species